AGAGUUUGAUCAUGGCUCAGGACGAACGCUGGCGGCGUGCUUAACACAUGCAAGUCGAACGGAAAGGCCCUUCGGGGUACUCGAGUGGCGAACGGGUGAGUAACACGUGGGUGAUCUGCCCUGCACUUUGGGAUAAGCCUGGGAAACUGGGUCUAAUACCGAAUAGGACCACGCGCUUCAUGGUGUGUGGUGGAAAGCUUUUGCGGUGUGGGAUGGGCCCGCGGCCUAUCAGCUUGUUGGUGGGGUAAUGGCCUACCAAGGCGACGACGGGUAGCCGGCCUGAGAGGGUGACCGGCCACACUGGGACUGAGAUACGGCCCAGACUCCUACGGGAGGCAGCAGUGGGGAAUAUUGCACAAUGGGCGCAAGCCUGAUGCAGCGACGCCGCGUGAGGGAUGACGGCCUUCGGGUUGUAAACCUCUUUCAAUAGGGACGAAGCGCAAGUGACGGUACCUAUAGAAGAAGCACCGGCCAACUACGUGCCAGCAGCCGCGGUAAUACGUAGGGUGCGAGCGUUGUCCGGAAUUACUGGGCGUAAAGAGCUCGUAGGUGGUUUGUCGCGUUGUUCGUGAAAACUCACAGCUUAACUGUGGGCGUGCGGGCGAUACGGGCAGACUAGAGUACUGCAGGGGAGACUGGAAUUCCUGGUGUAGCGGUGGAAUGCGCAGAUAUCAGGAGGAACACCGGUGGCGAAGGCGGGUCUCUGGGCAGUAACUGACGCUGAGGAGCGAAAGCGUGGGGAGCGAACAGGAUUAGAUACCCCGGUAGUCCAA
rnacentral:rRNA from 1 species